CCUACGGGAGGGCAGCAGUGGGGGAAUAUUGGACAAUGGGCGCAAGCCUGAUCCAGCCACGCCGCGUGAGUGAUGAAGGCCUUAGGGUUGUAAAGCUCUUUUAUCCGGGACGAUAAUGACGGUACCGGAGGAAUAAGCCCCGGCUAACUUCGUGCCAGCAGCCGCGGU
rnacentral:rRNA from 1 species